GGCCAGUGUGGUGCAGUGGUUUCAGCAUAGGACGACAACUCUGGAGAUGGGGGAUCAAAUCCCUGCUUGGCCA